GUCUGGGGGGGUAAGAUGUACGCAGUCCAUACCUCUACCUCUGAUGAAGUAGAAAGGCUGUUUCCGAAAGACCCCCAGCUCAAGUCACGAGAUAUCACACAAACACAUAGUACAGCACAGAAGCAGAAGACAUAACAUAGAUACGGCACCCAUAGGGAAUAUAAAACAGAGUAAAGCAGGAUUGCAGGAAUAUAAAGCAGAGGAAAG
rnacentral:lncRNA from 1 species